rnacentral:rRNA from 1 species
GAUGAACGCUGGCGGCGUGCCUAAUACAUGCAAGUCGAGCGAACGGACGAGAGGGUUGCUUCUCGGAUGUUAGCGGCGGACGGGUGAGUGACACAUGUAUAACCUCCCUAUAAGACUGGGAUAACUUCGGGAAAACGGAUCUAAUACCGGAGAAUAUUUUAAACCGCAUGGUUCAAAAGUGAAAAACGUUCUUUCUGUCACAUAUUGAGGUAGCCUCGCUGCAUUAGCUAGUUGGUAGGGUAACGGCUUACCAAGGCAACGAUGCAUAGCCGACCUGAGAGGGUGAUCGGCCACACUGGAACUGAGACACGGCCCAGACUCCUACGGGAGGCAGCAGUAGGGAAUCUUCCGCAAUGGGCGAAAGCCUGACGGAGCAACGCCGCGUGAGUGAUGAAGGUUUUCGGUUCGUAAAACUCUGUUGUUAGGGAAGAACAUAUGUGUAAGAAACUGUGAACAUCGUGACGGUACCUAAUCAGAAAGCCACGGCUAACUACGUG